rnacentral:rRNA from 1 species
UACGUAGGGUGCAAGCGUUUAAUCGGAAUUACUGGGCGUAAAGCGUGCGCAGGCGGUUUUGUAAGUCUGUCGUGAAAAUCCCCCGGGCUCAACCUGGGAAUUGCGAUGGAGACUGCAAGGCUAGAAUCUGGCAGAGGGGGGUAGAAUUCCACGUGUAGCAGUGAAAUGCGUAGAGAUGUGGAGGAACACCGAUGGCGCAAGGCG